CUGAAGCAGAAAGCUUUUCUCAAAGUUAAUAUUUUCCUGAAAUGACAUAAGUAUACCCCUUAGCAAAAAUAUCCAGUCUAUUUAAAAGAUGUACGUUUAAAAGAAACUUGAAAACAAAUGUAGAGACACAAAAUGGCUUCUGAACUCAGUUAUUCGGUGACAUUACCUGUCUUGCAGAGUUGGAUCAUCUAGUUUCUGAUUAAGUUUGAUCAUGUGAGAAACGACUAUUGAGCAGACUAUGAAGGAUGAAAGUGGAAAACAGCAGCACACAACAACCAGGUACAAUCGCAGACUAAACCAUGAGCUUUGUCUACUAAGAGGGCCUGGGAGCAGUGACAUCCAGGAGCAGUGAGCACAUCUAGCAAACAGUUUUUAAAUACCAGUCUCCAUCAAAGGAAUCAGGGCUUUUUGGAAAAUGGCCGAUCCCAGGGCUGAAGCAAAGUAUGCACAAGAUGGGUCUGAAAGUAUGGAAUUGUUCAAAUAAUGGUGGCUGGUCAUUGGACAGAGAAGCUAGCGCUCAGAGGCUCCCAAUGGCUAAAUCUGACAAUUUGAGCAAAUACGUGAUGACAGUAAUGGAUUUUAUCUCACUGAAUAGGAAUCUACAAAUCCAUUUUGAGAUAAAUGAAUAAUAAACAAGGGGAAGAGAAAGCUCUUCCUUAUAGCAAAAUGGCCAUUAAUAAGAUAUAGAAGGAAUGCAGCAACUAGAAAAUCACCAUUUGGCAACUAUCAGAGUAAUAAUAAUUCAAUCAAGAAAGCUAAGAGCAGAGAGCUAAAGCUGGGUGAAGAACAAGGUAUUUAGGUAGUCUCAAAGUAUCAUCUCCACAAAAUGCUUACUAUAAUAAAGAUGGAAGGGAAAAAGUAACUACAGUGGCAAAGCCUACUUAGAUGAUCACAAUUAAUAUCACCAGCGUUGGGAAAAAUUGACCUCAUAUGCCUCCUGGUAUGACACACUGAAAAGAGCAUAGCGUCACCUCUGUGAUAUUCCUGUCACAAAUGCAUACGCUGAAUCGAAUCAUGAGGAAGCACCAGACAAACUCAAAUUGAGGGACUUCUAUAAAACAACCUGUAAUCUUAAAAAAUAUUAAGGUCAUGAAGGUCAAGGAAGAACCAAGGAAUGGUUCUGGUUUGAAUGAGACUGAAGAAACACGACAACUGAGAGCAACACGUGAUCUUGGUUUGGAUCUUUUUGCUAUAGAGGACAUAACUAACUGGGCAGCUGGCAAAACCUGGGCCUUUGGGUGAAGGGUAUAUGGGAGUUCUUUGUGGUGUUCUUAGAACUUUUUUGUAAAUAUGAAGUUAUUUCAAAAUAAACAAAAGUAACAACCUUUGUCCAAAAACUUUUAUUUACUAUAAAGACAAAACACCAAAAUAGGUACAAAUACUAUAAAAUUGGUUCAAUGGGGUAAAAAUUUUAAUUAAAAUAUCUCGAUAUAUUUAAAAUAACAAAGGAUACAUUUAAGCCAAAUUUUCUUAACCCAGAGAUUUUUUUUUGUAACAUUUGCUUACACAGUAAGGUGCUAAUAGAAGUUAGCCCUUAAGCCCUGGAAGUCUUAGGAAUCAUAGUUACACAGCAAAUAUAAUUUCAUUGUGAAAGUGAACUUUGGUAGAAGAAAAAUCUAUAGGACACCUGAGGUAGUAGAAACUGGAAUAAACAGCAGUAGACGUUAUUUACAACUUGAGUACCAAAUAACAUUAAGAACACAAAAAUAAUUACACAAUACAAUUUUCAGUCCAGCUUUGAUCCAAAGAAAAUAAGAAUAUUACAUCACAUUUGCAUUGAAAACAAAACAAAACAAAACACAAAACACCACAAUUACCAGCAAGCUGAGGGAACUGCAAACAAACUCAAACAAUGGAUUUUGACAUCUAGAGGCAGUUUGAGUUUGAAAUGUGGUGGGCAUGGUGAUCUACAAAGUAAUACUGAUUAGCUGAGGUUCCUCAGUUUAUACAGUUUACAUUUCUGUCAGACACAGUAUUAAUCUGACCAAUGAUCUUCCAGUACAUAAAAUGGCAAGAGUGCAUCCUUUAAAGCUUGCACAUGAGACACUUGGACACAAUCUUAUUAGAACUGUGAAAAUUCUAAGUAGUCAAAAAAAAAAAAAAAAGAA